rfam:Schistosoma curassoni strain Dakar, Senegal genome assembly, scaffold: SCTD_scaffold0015230
AUCCAGCUGACGUGUUCCAAAUAGAAUGAAACGCGCAUUCUGGAU